UACGAAGGGUGCAAGCGUUACUCGGAAUUACUGGGCGUAAAGCGUGCGUAGGUGGUGGUUUAAGUCUGCUGUGAAGCCCUGGGCUCAACCUGGGAAUUGCAGUGGAUACUGGAUCACUAGAGUGUGGUAGAGGGAUGCGGAAUUUCUGGUGUAGCAGUGAAAUGCGUAGAGAUCAGAAGGAACAUCCGUGGCGAAGGCGGCAUCCUGGGCCAACACUGACACUGAGGCACGAAAGCGUGGGGAGCAAACAGG
rnacentral:rRNA from 1 species